rnacentral:pre_miRNA from 1 species
CUUGCACCGGUGGGGUCCCUCAGCCUGGCCUGUGCCCUCUUGCAAUCUGGGACCCCCUGGGGUAUGUCAGAGAACCGGUUUUAGCCCGAUCCCGUAGGCCAGGCUGAGGGACCCCACUGGUGCAUA